GGGCGGCCGCCCCGGGCCCCCCAAAUCCAGGGGGCCCCUCUGACCAGGUAUGCGUAUAUACACAGCAAAAGGUCAGAUCGCAUCGUACGUUGCCAUGUUUUCAUCGUUGCGAUCACACAAAGAAGGUAGCCGACGAUCACACAAGCACGUUGUCAUGUUUUCAUCCUAGCGAUCCAUCCAUCCCUCUAGCUGAGAUACUGGGCUUGGCCCAAUGCGUGGGCGGCAUGACCAAUGCUGUCGAGGCCCUAGGUAGCGCACAACGCCCUCUCCUUUUUCCGUCGUGGAUGCCCAUCGCCCGCCGCCGACGCCAAACUUCAGGACCAAAUCUCGGCAAGCCAUCGCAGCCGAUGCUACGAUGGCGGCGAGGGAGGAGGAGCACACAGAGCAUAGAAGAUGGUCCGAAUGCUUCAAGAACAAUUUCUUUUAUCAAGGACAUGUAUAAGGAGGCACUGGAUGUGUGUGAAUGAUGGCCGAGGAUCUUCGCACUCGGAAGGUCAUCCUGAUCUCCGCUAGCUCCGGCGACCUCUACCCCUUUUUCGGCAAUAACAAGGCUUGGCGCGCUGCCUUCACCACUACUGUCUCCGAUGGCGAUGUAUGGCACCGGAGGCUUGGCCACCCUAGUGCUCAAUCUUUUACUUCCAUAGCACAUGAUUUUAUUCUACCUUGCAAUAAACCUCAUAUGCCGUGUGAUGCGUGUCAACUUGGACGCCAACCCCGUCUCCCUUUUACUU